AAAUGUCAUGUGGAGACAGAAGGCAGUCUCCAGCAGGUGAUCAAUAUAUUAUUAUGAACUAUGUAUUUUUAAAUAACUUUAACGUUUAGAGCGAGAAUUACUCAAUCAUUUUCAAGGAAAAUAUCCUAAUGAUGAUGUGGUUAUUGUCGAGUGCGCUGGAGACGUACCUGAAACGAUCCGGUUGGGAGGAGGCUUCUUUAAAGGCCUCCUCUACGGCGUAUAUCGAGACCAACAAUUACCAAACAUGAUUUGGGUCACAUACAUUUAAAUAACUAUGCUAAAAUUUAAAUAAAGCAAUUUAAUGCUCAUUGUAUUGGUAAAAAAAACAUUGGAACCAACCGUGGCAGCGAAUUCAUAUUGAUGGACCUGCUCCUAUAAUGCCACACUGUAUGCAGUGUAUUCGAGGUGAAUAAAUUGCUUCAUGCUCUUCUAAUUUUAUUCGUUCCUAGAUCUAAAUACGCAUCAUGUUGAAAUAAACAAUUAACGCUAUUUGUAGAGUUAUUUUCCUCCUCCACCUCUUAUACAUUGUAAACCCCCGCAAGCAAACAAGUCAACCCCCCCCCUCACGUCACCAACCGACCCCUACGCACCGCCGAUCAGGUAGACAAACAGCAUUACGUCCUCAUAGCAUACAACCAUCCCAGAGGCGCCAUCUCUUAUACAUAUGUUACAAAAUGCACGCCAUCUUUAUGCUAUUUAUCUAACACACACCCACAUGAUACCAGCCCCGA